AAAAUGACUCUCGGCAACGGAUAUCUCGGCUCUUGCAUCGAUGAAGAACGUAGCGAAAUGCGAUACUUGGUGUGAAUUGCAGAAUCCCGUGAACCAUCGAGUCUUUGAACGCAAGUUGCGCCCGAAGCCAUUAGGUUGAGGGCACGCCUGCCUGGGUGUCACA
rnacentral:rRNA from 2 species